AAAGUAGUGAUGGAACAGGUAGACAUGAAUAGCUUAGGACUAUUUGAUUUUUAAUCUUAUCCGUUCAAAUCGGAUCUACUUUA
rnacentral:tRNA from 1 species